AAAUUGAAGAGUUUGAUCAUGGCUCAGAUUGAACGCUGGCGGCAGGCCUAACACAUGCAAGUCGAACGGUAACAGGAAACAGUUUGCUGUUUCGCUGACGAGUGGCGGACGGGUGAGUAAUGUCUGGGAAACUGCCUGAUGGAGGGGGAUAACUACUGGAAACGGUAGCUAAUACCGCAUAACGUCGCAAGACCAAAGAGGGGGACCUUCGGGCCUCUUGCCAUCGGAUGUGCCCAGAUGGGAUUAGCUUGUUGGUGGGGUAACGGCUCACC
rnacentral:rRNA from 1 species